UACGGGGGGGGUAAGCGUUGUUCGGAAUUACUGGGCGUAAAGGGCUCGUAGGCGGCCAACUGAGUCAGACGUGAAAUCCCUCAGCUUAACUGGGGAACUGCGUCUGAUACUGGAUGGCUUGGAUCCGGAAGAGGGAUGCGGAAUUCCAGGUGUAGCGGUGAAAUGCGUAGAUAUCUGGAGGAACACCGGUGGCGAAGGCGGCAUCCUGGGCCGGUAUUGACGCUGAGGAGCGAAAGCCAGGGGAGCAAACGGG
rnacentral:rRNA from 1 species